UUGAAAGAAAAAAGUGGGAGACGAGAAAAGAAUUAAUAAGCCAAAGGGUUUUUCAACUAUUGUGGAUUUUGAAUUUCAAAUUCGAUUUUAGAGUACAUAAUACAACACCCCCACAUAAUAUGUGCGUAUGUAUAUAUAUAUAUACAUAUGUGCCGAGAUCUUUUUUAUUCCACCUUUUUUACUAGCUUGUUGAAUGAAAAAAGUGGGAGAUAAAAAGAGAUAUUUAUACUCGUCUCGCGUCAAUCUCGACCGUCCAAUCACAUUUAAAGAGAAAUAAAUAUUGAAUGUUCAUCGCGAUUUGAUCUCAACCAUCCGAUCGCGUUUAAAGAGGAAAUGAAUAUAAACUGUUCAUCGCGUUUAAUUACGAUUAUCCAAUCACGUAUGAGGAGGGAAUGAAUCCGGACCCUAGCCGUAAGCCUCCUACCGGAGAAGAAAAAUCAAUCACCGGAGAAAAGUGCCGACUGUCGACUAUUACCGCGCCGGAACCACCUCCGACCGUAAAAAAGGUAAAGAUUCUCCUAUCUACUAAGAAUUUGAUUCUGAGCACCUCCAUGGCCAAAUUGGAGUAAAAGAAAUGACGGGUGAGCCGAAAAAUUACAGGCAAAGCUAGGCGGUGCUGCCGCAAGCAAAACCUGCAACCGCCUCCGAUGAGCCCCUUCCCAUUUUCCUUUUCGUACGAUUUUUUCACUGUUCUAUUUUCUACAAGUUGACCGAAGAAAUACGCCCAACCACACAAGUGAGCCGGCAAAGCUGCCGCAUUGAAAAAUUCUAGCAUCGGUAUGUUUCUAUUUUUUUAUAUUUUUCGACUAACCGAGACCUCCAACGUGUUUUUUCAUAGGAAUUGAUAUAUAUCCUGAAUAUCUUUGAGUUUUUAUUUAUCCUAGGGAUAUUUUUUUAUUUUUUGUUUAUUGGAGAUAUACUCUAUUAAUUGAUCAUAGUAGAAAACGUUUUUACCGAUCUUACCUGUAAAUGUAAGCACACUGCCGAACUACAUUAAAUUAUAUGUUAUUCUUUUGUUUUGUUUUAUAUUUGUUGUGAUUGUAUGUCAUUUUGGAAUUAAUUUCUCCAACAGUUGAUAUCUUAAUUUUUUUAUUUUCUAAUUUUUUUAAAAAAAUUUAAGAAUUUGAGUACGCUGAAAUUUCUUUUUCUGACACAGAAAAAAAGUCAGUGGUAAAGAUGAUGACGAGAUAUAUUAUACCACCUUUGACCAACAAAAAGUGAAACUAAAACAAAUUGUGAUAAUCAAAACACUUAGGGUAUUGAAUGUGUUGUCAUUUAGAAUCCUUCGUUAGCUCUUCUUUAAAGAGAAGUAAAUACAAAUAUAUUAGUUACUUUUAUUUUCCUGGUGAACCAAAAAAAAAAGUAAUUAUAUACUGAAUUUUAAAUUAAGAUGCAGUAAUUUGUUUUAAAUUUUCGCUACUACUUUGAUAAAUAUAUUUAAAAUUUUCACUUUAUAAUUAUUGACAUCUCAAGUAAACAAAAUUUAUUUACUUCAAUAGUUAAUGCAUAAUUUAAAAAUAUUUUAGAACCUAGAUGAUUUUGCUAUAUUGAUGUGCCUAAGCUAAUAAUAUGCUAAGUUACGAUCGCUCAAAUGAGAAAAAAUUGAUAGUUUUGCUCGUGGUGAUUAUGAUCAUAUUAUUACACCUAACCACAUUAGAAGUAGUAAUAACUAGGUUAUGGGAUUUAUAUUCAACUUGAAUAUUUCCAAAUUGGUGGUGGCUAAAAUUCUAGAGGUAUUUGAGGAUCUCAAGUUUGCAUGGCGUAAAGGUAUCAAAAUUUUUAUUAUUGAGGUUGAUUUUUUUAUGUAUUAAGCAAUUUUUUACUAAUAUGAAAGAGAUUUCUUUUUUUUCGGAUCUGAAGAGGUUUAGCUCAUGGUACUUCUUAACUUUAACUGGAAGAUUCAGAUCUCCCAUAUCUCUAGAGAAGAAAAUUCAUAUACCAAUUGUCUUGCAUAUUAAACUCACAAGUCCAUUAGGAGUUAUAGAGAAUUAAUUCAUGCUUCUAAUUAUCUCCUUUUCUACAACUACUUAAAUCACUAUGACAUUAUUUAGGCACAUCUCCCUUGUAUGAUGAGUUGUUUGAUUUGUUCCCCCUUGGUGGCAAACAAAAGAAAAAGUAGAACAUUGAUUGCUUAUCUCCCUAUAUUCUUAUGUUUGUUUUUAUUGUAAAAAUUAAUAGAUAAAGUGUUAUUUUUUUAAAAUUUAUUCAUAUUUCAAUUGACAUGACAUACCAUUAAAAUUAAUUACUUCAAUUAGAUAGUUAUAUAAAAUUACUAAUUAAAUACAAUUAGAAGAGUAUAUAUAUCUUUUUUCAAAAAACGGACAUAUUACUUUUCGGAAUAGUAAUCGUAAAUCAAAUUUUCAUAUUAGCUAAUAUAAUAAUAAUCAUAAAUUAAUGUUGAUAUAGUUUGAAUUUUGAAAAUAUUUAUCUAUAUUUUGAGAAAUAGUUCAUGUUUAUGUUAGUAUAUAUUUUAUAUAUAACUUAAAGAUAUUUUUUAUUUAUUCUAUGAAAUAUGUGAUGUAUAUUAUAGUGGAUAUUUUAUGAAUAUUUUGUAAAAAUUUUUUUAAUUAUCAUUAGAAUUAUGUGAUAUAUAUCUAGAAUAGUUUUGUUUGAUAAAAACUUUAAUAAUCUCUCUAUAUAUAAGAGUAAAUUUUAUGUUUUUUUUUUUAUUCUUACUUCAUUAUAAUUAUGUGUAAUUUUGGAAUUAAUUUCUCUAACAGUUGACAUCUUAAUUAUUUUUAUUUUUCUAUUUCUUUUAAAAAUUUUAAGAAUUUAAGUAUGCUGAAAUGUUUUUCUUACAGAAAAAAAAAAAAAAAAAGUUAGAUGGCAAGGAUGAUGAAUAGAUAUAUCAUACCAAUUUUGACCAACUAAAAGUGAAACUAAAACAAAUGAUAAUAAUCAUAACCAUAGCUAUGAUAAUGAUGCAUAUAUAUAUAUAUAUAUAUAUAUAUAUAUAUAUAUAUAUAACACGUACAUUAUAUGAAUUCUUUUGGGCAUAGUAGAAAAUAUUCAAAUUGCUUAUGACAACUAUAAAAAUGGGUGUCAGUCUUUAUUGGCUAGUGAACAUGUAAACAGUUAAUCCCUAUAUAUGUUCUUGAUUUUCUUUGUUGGGUUUUGUCUUUGCUAUUUGGGAUUUUAUGUGAGAGGAUGAUGCUUUUUCUUCCAUUUUUAAAAUAUUAUAUAUUAAAAUUAAACAGUUAUUCAUAAAUAAUAUAAAUAUUAUUUUUUUUAUGAAAAACUAAUUUAAAUUAAUAUCUUAAUUUUUACUUGGUACGUGUAAAUAGAUCCUAAUAUGAUUUUUAUCCUCAAUUGAUAUAGUUAGUGUUUGUAAAUGGAUUUGUACCCUCUUAGUGCCUUUGCUUAAUGAUACACUUUAUACUUAUUAUUUAAAAAAAAAAAAAAAAAUCUUCGUAGUAAUUAUUUGAAUCCAAGUAUUAUAGUAGCCUAGUUUGUUGCCGCACUAUAACCGUUUUAGUCCUACUACUAAUAGUAAUACUCUAAAUCUAAUCAUCCAAGUGAAAGUAUUUUAAAAGUAAUCCGAACGUCAGUUGUAAUUGUAAAAAUAAUCCACUAAUCUUAAUAUCAUAGUCAUAUUCCUAAGAGUCCAAUUCUUAUUUGCAUUACUAAUCUUAAUGCACAAUAAUGAAUAGUGUUGUUCCCACGGAGAAAAGAACAUAAAUAUUGUUCGUUCAACCAUAUUCAUAUUCAUGAUCUAAUACCACGAAUAAGACUUUCUUUAGAACAAAAAAUAUUAAACUAGAAUGGAUUUUAAAUGAGUUCUUACGUUUAAAAUAAAUCAAAAUACUCAUUGAAAUAUUCUAUUUAAAACAAAUUUAUUUAAGGUAUGAAAUGAAAUUAGAAUAGAAGAAAUGAAAAUUAAAACAAAGAUAAUUGGAAUAAAAGCAAUAAUGUCGCAAGAUUUAAAUAAAACUAAAAGAAACUAUCCAUAAUACUCAUGUUGCGAAAAUUUCUUCCAGUUGUCAGUGUUUAAAAAUAUCUCAAAAGAUAUCGAUAUAUAUGUAUGGGCUAAAGUAUAAUUUUUUUUGGUCAAAUAAAAGCUGCAUUUUAAAAAAUUUUCUGGACCAAUACAUAAUUUGUGUGUGUGUGUAAAUAUAUAUAUACAUAUGUGCCGAGAUCUUUUUUAUUCCGCCUUUCUGUCUGACUUGUUGAAAGAAAAAAGUGGGAGACGAGAAAAGAAUUAAUAAGCCAAAGGGUUUUUCAACUAUUGUGGAUUUUGAAUUUCAAAUUCGAUUUUAGAGUACAUAAUACAACACCCCCACAUAAUAUGUGCGUAUGUAUAUAUAUAUAUAUAUAUAUACAUACAUAUGUGCCGAGAUCUUUUUUAUUCCACCUUUUUUACUAGCUUGUUGAAUGAAAAAAGUGGGAGAUAAAAAGAGAUAUUUAUACUCGUCUCGCGUUAAUCUCGACCGUCCAAUCACAUUUAAAGAGAAAUAAAUAUUGAAUGUUCAUCGCGAUUUGAUCUCAACCAUCCGAUCGCGUUUAAAGAGGAAAUGAAUAUAAACUGUUCAUCGCGUUUAAUUACGAUUAUCCAAUCACGU
rnacentral:lncRNA from 1 species